rnacentral:rRNA from 1 species
CGCUACGGUGAAUACGUUCCCGGACCUUGCACACACCGCCCGUCAAGCCAUGGAAGCCGGGUGUACCUAAAGUCGGUAACCGUAAGGAGCCGCCUAGGGUAAAACCGGUGACUGGGGCUAAGUCGUAACAAGGUACCC